GACUCAUUGCUAACAAUGAGCCAUUGCGCCACGCAAGCAUCCCAUAAUGCAUUUAAUGGACCGUCGCCACGCCCGGAAAGGCCCAUUGUUAGCAAUGAGUCUUUAAAUUAUGACAUCAACUUCUGACAACACGACAACAUAUGCACAGGGAAGGCUCCGUCCGUAUUUAGCAGCAUAUCGUUGAUUGCACAAGUUUCCUUGAAACGUGAAUCUCAUUGGCUUACAGGCAGUGACAGGAUUUAAUCGUGUGCUGAAGAAAAACAGAAAAGAGAUGAUUUCCUUCAGGAUUUUUGUGGUUCUGCUCGUUUUCUUCAUUGUACAGCAACAACAACAUAAUUGUGAAGGGUUACCUGGAGUAGCAGGACGCUAUUUAGAUAUACCACCACGUGGGCGUUCAUUUGAAAGUGGCAAUGAUCAAUCCGUCGCACGUAAACGCAGAGAGACCGAGCAGCUGGAACUGCUUGAACUGAGACCCAGAGAUGUCGAAGAUGAAAACAAACCAUGCCCACCUUGUUAGAUUGACUUCAUUUUGCUUACGUAUGUGCUUGUGUGCAUUUAUCAUUUUAUAAUCUUUUCAGCUGCAUGAAUAAGAAAUUUA